GUGAUCCACACCACCCUUCAAAUCAGGGUGGGGCCUUCACCUUCCUCUCAACCUCACCAAAUAUUCCCAAAGAGAAGAUGUACGAUAACCUCGAACUCUUCUCUUCUCCGGGAGCGCGUGAGGAGGAGGCGGCGGGCGGAGCGGUGCGGUGCGGAGCGGUGCUGCGCGGUGCAGCCUAGCACCCGACAGUGCCUGAGCCUGCACCCAGCUCGGGUGCAGAGAGGUGCGCCGACGCGGAUAUUCAUACGCCACAGAGGAUUGGGAUCGGCGGUGCUUGUCUAGUGUAGACGAGUGCGCGUGCGGGUGGCAGCAAGGAAAC
rnacentral:rRNA from 1 species